rnacentral:piRNA from 1 species
UGCAAUGAACACCAGACAGGUGGAGAAGGU